GCACAGGUGGACCAACGGGGGGUGUGACUGUGGGCACCGUGCGCGGAGGCGGAGGCUCAUCUGGUUCCCACCCUCCGUGCCGCUGGAUGCCCCAGGAUUUUCUCCAACCGGGGUCCCGGCUUGGAGCCCUCCUUGGUGCGAGCUUUGGCUCAGCAAUGGGGAAAGCGGGAAUGGGUCUCGCCCUUGUGGCUGCCUGGUGGAAGCGGCGGUUUUGACACACGAAUAGUCGUGGGGAGCAGAUCCAGAGAGGGCGCAUUUGCAAUAAUAACGCUUAGUUUAUCUCUGCCAGAGGGGCGGGAACAGGCCUUCGCGCUGGUGUCUUACAUCAGCCAAGCAAACCAUGGGCGCGAUUGGAGCCAACCACCUCCAGCGGGGUUUUGCUCCAGACUUAAGGUGCACGGAAACCGGAGCAUUCAGCCCUUCAUGGAUGCCUCCCGAAAACCUCACCAUGCCAGUGACACGACUGCAAACGGCGGGUGGCACAUGCCGGGGGCUUGGGAUGGGAGGGUUUGGAAACCUCGCUCCAAGGACGCCCUCAGCCAAGGAGCUUCGGCUCCUUCCUAGAAUUUCUAGAAGCACUUUUGGAGGGACCGAGGGCUUCCGGCCGGGCCCAGAGGAAUUUGAGCGCUUGCCCGGGCAGGCAGAAGCGCAGCCUGGGAGUGGAGAGGCUGCUGGGCCACAUUCCGGCCCAGCUUCCCCCGCUAGGCCCCAGCCCUGCCGCGGCGCCCCAGGAAGCACCUCCGAAAACAAAGCGCUGUGGUUUCAGCCCAAGGUUAAAGUCCACCGCGAGCGUGUUUUUUCCCCCCUCCAGAAUCUAAGAGCGAUAGCGUUUCUCCAAAUAAACCGCCAAUAAAUCAGCUCCCGGGGGCGCCUGCUGAAGAGCUCUGGUGACCUUGGGGGAUGGUUUUUCUGCCUGA
rnacentral:lncRNA from 1 species